GGGUUCUUAGCUCAGUUGGUUAGAGCUCCCCGCUCAUAACGGGGCGGUCAAGUGUUCAAGUCACUUAGAACCCACCA
rnacentral:tRNA from 1 species